GACAGAGGUGCCAAGCGUUAGGCGGAAUCACUGGGCUUAAAGCGUGUGUAGGCGGAUCGUUAAGUACCUUGUGAAAGCCCGGGGCUCAACUCCGGAACUGCCUUUAAGACUGCAUCGCUUGAAUCCGGGAGAGGUGAGUGGAAUUCCGAGUGUAGAGGUGAAAUUCGUAGAUAUUCGGAAGAACACCAGUGGCGAAGGCGGCUCACUGGACCGGUAUUGACGCUGAGGUGCGAAAGCGUGGGGAGCAAACAGG
rnacentral:rRNA from 1 species